CAGAAUGCGUUUUAUUACAUCUAAACUCCUACAUAAACAGAUAACAUUUAAUAAGUAAACAAUUUCUUCCAAUGCAAGUAAUAAAUAUUUUUUUCCCACUUAAUACUUUAUACAAACUGACACUGGUCUACUGUACAAAGAUUUUGUCCUCAUCUUUCUUGAAAAGCCUUUUUAUUAUCUGCUCGGAAAUAUGAAAACAGAAUCAGGGAUUUUAAGGCAGUGAGUGCAAAUGUCAACUUAUCAGUCUUGAAAUUCAGUUAAUCAAUUGGACAUUUUUAAAGUUAUUGUCCACUAUAUAGUACAGCUAUUUGUAUCUAAAAAUAUAUAAAUGAAUUUCUUCCUGUCAUGUUUCUUGGAUGAGUCAAAAACACAUUAACUAAUAUUUUCAAACUCCCACAUUUGAACAAUUGUCUGUCACUUUUCCAUUGUGAUAUACAAAAACAUCUGAAACAUUUUCCCUUUAUCCAUCUUCAGACAGCCAUAUCAUACACAAAGUGAUCAACAGAAGUCUCCAAUGCUUUUGGUCAACGUCCACUCAAGUGUCCUAAACACAUCGCCAUGGCAACUAUUCAUAACAAUAAUUAAGUCAGUAAAUUUACAGACAUUGGCUGAAAACCCAAUAUCAGGGAAAAGCGCAACUAUGUGACUUAAAGAACCACGAGGAACAGAAGACAGAGCACAAGGCAGCAUAAGUGUCCACAUGCCUGUGUCCGUGUAGGUGAACCAGCGUCGUGGGAAGGUGAUGGAGAUUGAGAUAAUGGACAACUGAUGUGGAUAGCAUCUGUUUAAAUACACACCACUUCAUGCGACGAUGGUCAGAGAGCAAUGCCAAGCUAAAACCGUUGACCGAUCCAAGACUGGGGAUACAUCGCAAUAUUACCAAAUCAGGAGGACUUCAGAAUAAGGCCUUUCCACGAACACACAAGGCUACCCUGGGCAUUUCAAAUGGGGGGAAAAACAUGCAACGACAUACGCUCCCUAGAAACUUGAUUAAUAGAAUCAAAAACUAAAAUAAAAUCAAUCAUCCAAAUAAAUAAAUCUGUGAUUGGACAAACUUUAAAACAUCUGGCCUAAUAAACUAAAUAUCUUAGUCGCACUUUGUUAGUCUACCCUAAACCAACUGGGUACCCUAAACCAACUGGGUACCCUAAACCAACUGGGUACCCUAAUCCAACAGGGUACCCUAAACCAACAGGGUACCCUAAACCCUGAAAAAGCACAAAGUUAAGAUGAUCAAAGUGCGCCUAGGAAAACACGUGAUUCUGUAUGAGCAGUUAAACUAUACUUCUGACAAUACACAGCUAAAGACAAACCAAAAAGCACAUUAAAUUAAUAACGAUUCAGCAAAAACACAGAUGGAACUGGUGUAUGGCAGCGACAAAUACACACACAGAAAUAAAGUGUAAAAAUAUAUAAUAUUUAUAUAUAGAUAAAAA
ensembl:lncRNA